GUGGGGAAUCUUGCGCAAUGGGCGAAAGCCUGACGCAGCGACGCCGCGUGAGGGAAGAAGGCCUUCGGGUUGUAAACCUCUUUCAGGAGGGACGAAGCUACUCGGGUUAAUGUCCAACAGGAAAUCGUCGUGCCAGUACCUCCAGAGCAACCCCCGUCUAACUCCGGGGCCGCAGCUUCUCUGAUAUUUGGGGGGGGUAACGUGGUUCGGAGUGAUUGGGCGUAUAGGACGUGAAAGCGCCAGGCUAAGUCGGAAGUGGACUCUCAAAGCUUAACUGUUAGCGUGCCUUGGAAGGACUGUCUGGCUUGAGUUCGGAAGGGGGAAAUGGAAUUCCUGCUGUAGAAAUGCAAUGGGUAAAAAUCAGGACCAACACCGGUGGCGACGGCCACUACCUGGACCGAUGCUGACACUCAGGCUCGAAAGCCCGGGGAGUCCACAGGAUUAGAUACCCUGGUAGUCCACAGAGUAAACAUUGUCACACUAGGUGUUGGGUCCAUUCGACAUCUUCCGUGCCCCAGCGGACACAAUAAGUGUGGCGCCUGCGGAGACGACUUCAGGUUGAAACUCUAUGAGUUGACG
rnacentral:rRNA from 1 species